UCACGGUUUACACCGGCAGUUUUGUUAGAGUCCCCGGCUUUACCCGUUGGCAACUAACAAUAGGGGUUGCGCUCGUUAUAGGACUUAACCAAACACUUCACAGCACGAACUGAAGACAACCAUGCAGCACCUUGUAUUACGUCUUAUAGACUAAGUUGUUUCCAGCUUAUUCGUAAUACAUUUAAGCCUUGGUAAGGUUCCUCGCGUAUCAUCGAAUUAAACCACAUGCUCCACCGCUUGUGCGAAACCCCGUCAAUUCCUUUGAGUUUCAAUCUUGCGAUCGUACUUCCCAGGUGGAUCACUUAUCGCUUUAACUUAGCCACUGAAUAUAGUUUUUCCAAUAGCUAGUGAUCAUAGUUUAGGGCAGUGGACUAC
rnacentral:misc_RNA from 1 species